ACAAAAUAGAAGACAAGUUCACCCUAAAUUCCUAAUCUUCGUUUACAGCCUCGCUCUCAAUCUCUCAGUCUCACUCGUCACUCACCGUCACCAUAGCCGACGCCGCCUCUCCGAUAGUCAACGGUGCUCUUAAUCUCUCUUGUCUCUCAGUCUUCUCUCACAGCCUCGCUCUCAACAAAUAAUUAGAAAUAUUUAGUGCAUCUCUCUCGCUCUCAAUCUCUCACACACUUGCCAGCCCCCGCUUCUCCAGUAGUGCACGGUGAAAGCCCAAAGGUCGUCGCCACCGGCCAGGACCAAUAUUUAAGGCACAGCUCAUGUCGAAGAUUGCUGAGAAGAAAAUUAAGGAGGCCGAUAGGAUGGUUUCACACACUGCUUAGUUAGUGAUUAUUUUUUAUUUAUUUUGGGAAAUGUAUUGGAUUUUUAGGUGUUUUAGAAUUUUGGAUUUGGAUUUUGUACGAAUAUUGUUACAUUUUAGAGUUUAAUUAAUAAUGAUUAUUGGAGUUAUUUGA